GACGAACGCUGGCGGCGUGCCUAAUACAUGCAAGUCGAACGCUAAAGGAGGAGCUUGCUGUUCUGGCUGAGUUGCGAACGGGUGAGUAACGCGUAGGUAACCUGCCUGGUAGUGGGGGAUAACUUUUGGAAACGAUAGCUAAUACCGCAUAACAGUAGAUGUUGCAUGAAAUUUGCUUAAAAGUUGCAAUUGCACCACUACAAGAUGGACCUGCGUUGUUUUAGCUAGGUGGUGGGGUAAAGGCGCACCAAGGCGACGAUACAUAUCCGACGUGAGAGGGUGGACAGCCACACUGGGAAUGAGACAAGGCCCAGACUGCCUCGGGAGGCAGCAAGAGGGAAACAUCGGCAAUUGACGGAAAUCUUACCGCAGAACGCCGCGGUAGGGAAAGAAGGUUUCGGGUCGUAAAAGACGGUUUUAAGGGAAGAACGAGUAGGAGAGUGAAAAGUUCACACUGUGACGGUAUCUGACCAAAAAGCGACGGCUAACUACGUG
rnacentral:rRNA from 1 species